rnacentral:piRNA from 1 species
UACAAAUGAUAGAAGUUCACGCCUGCUC